AGAGUUUGAUCCUGGCUCAGGAGGAAGCSGGCGGCSCGCCUAAUGCAUGCAAGUCGAACGUGCUCCCUCUCUUCGGAGGGGGAGUAAGUGGCAGACGGCUGAGUAACGCGUAAGUAACCUACCCACUGGCGGGGGACAACCCGGAGAAAUCCGAGCUAAUACCGCAUGUGGUUGCCUGCCGAUAGCGGGUAACCAAAGGCUUCRGCCACCAGUGGCUGGACUUGCGUCCUAUCAGGUAGUUGGWGAGGUAAUGGCCCACCAAGCCAUCGACGGGUAGCCGGUGUGAGAGCACGASCGGCCAGAGGGGGACUGAGACACGGCCCCCACUCCUACGGGAGGCAGCAGCAGGSAAUCUUGCGCAAUGGGCGAAAGCCUGACGCAGCGACGCCGCGUGAGGGAAGAAGGCCUGAGGGUCGUAAACCUCUUUUCUCGGGGAAGAAUAAUGACGGUACCCGAGGAAUAAGCCUCGGCUAACUACGUGCCAGCAGCCGCGGUAAUACGUAGGAGGCUAGCGUUGUCCGGAUUCAUUGGGCGUAAAGGGAGCGCAGGUGGCUGAGUUCGUCCGUGGUGCAAGCUCUAGGCUUAACUUGGAGAGGUCUACGGAUACUGCUCGGCUUGAGGGCGGUAGAGGAGCACGGAAUUCCUGGUGUAGUGGUGAAAUGCGUAGAUAUCAGGAGGAACACCCGUGGCGAAAGCGGUGCUCUGGGCCGUCCCUGACACUCAGCUCGAAAGCGUGGGGAGCAAACCGGAUUAGAUACCCGGGUAGUCCACGCCCUAAACGAUGAGUGCUGGGUAUGGGGGGUAUCGACCCUCCCGUGCCGAAGCUCACGCGUUAAKCACUCCGCCUGGGAACUACGGCCGCAAGGCUAAAACUCAAAGGAAUUGACGGGGGCCCGCACAAGCAGCGAGCGUGUGAUUUAAUUCGAUGCAAGCGAAGAACCUUACCAGGGCUUGACAUGUCAGUGGUACCUGACCGAACGGGGAGGGACCCUUCGGGGAGCCUGUCACGAUGCUGCAUGCUGCGUCAGCUCGUGCUGAGGUGUGGGUUAAGU
rnacentral:rRNA from 1 species